AUGGCUGGGAUCACCACCAUGGAGGCGGUGAAACGCAAGAUCCAGGUUCUGCAACAGCAGGCUGAUGAUGCAGAGGAGAGAGCCGAGUGUCUCCAGCGGGAAGUGGAGGGAGAAAGGCGGGCCCGGAACAGGCUGAGGCUGAGGUGGCCUCCUUCAACCGUAGGAUCCAGUUGGUUGAAGGAGCUGGAUCGUGCUCAGGAGCGCCUGGCCACUGCCCUCCAAAAGCUGGAGGAAGCGGAAAAAGCUGCUGAUGAGAGUGAGAGAGGUAUGAAGGUGAUUGAAAACCGGGCCUUAAAAGAUGAGGAAAAGAUGGAACGCCAGGAAAUCCAACUCAAAGAAGCUAAACAUAUUGCAGAAGAGGCAGGUAGGAAGUAUGAAGAGGUGGCCUGUAAGUUGGUGAUUAGUGAAGGAGACUUGGAACGCACAGAGGAACGAGCUGAACUGGCAGAGUCCCGUUGCCGAGAGAUGGAUGAGCAGAUCAGACUGAUGGACCAGACCUGAAGUGUCUGAGCGCUGCUGAAGAAAAGUAUUCUCAAAAAGAAGACAAAUAUGAGGAAGAGAUAACGAUUCUUACUGAUAAACUCAAGGAGGCAGAGACCCGUGCUGAGUUUGCUGAGAGAUCGGUAGCCAAGCUGGAAAAGACAAUUGAUGAUUUGGAAGAUAAACCGAAAUGUACCAAAGAGGAGCACCUCUGUACACAAAGGAUGCUGGACCAGACUCUGCUUGACCUGAAUGAGAUGUAGAGCACCCCAGUCCCGCCCUGCCGCCGCUUCUCCCUCUGAUCCUGACUCCGCCUGAGGCCAGCCUGCCUGAAGCUGACCUUUAAACUGAGGGCUGAUCUUUAACUGGAAGGCUGCUUUCUCCUUUCGCCAUCCCCCUCCAUCCUCCGCCCCACACACCACGUCUUUUUCGCCAAACUGUCUCUGCCUCUUCCCAGAGAUUCCUGCUGGGCUAGAGGCUGAGCACCUUUGGGAACAACAUUUAAGGGAAUGUGAGCACAAUGCAAAAUGCCUUUAAAAGCAUGUUGCGAUGUACACAUUUUGUAAUUACCUUUUUUGUCGUUGUUGUAGCAACCAUUUGUAAAACAUUCCAAAUACUUCCACAGCUCUGAUGCAGCAAUCUAACCCCUUUAUCACUUUUGGAAGUUGACUUUGCAGCUUAAUGUAUAUUGCCCUCUCCAUAGAGGAGGCAGAAAGGUAUGGGCCUGCCUUACUGAGAACCAAACAGAGCCCAGGGAAAGACUCCACUGUGGGAAACCUCAUUGCUCUGUACAAAGUACCAGCCAAACCUGAAAGGGGAUCCCAGGAGGAGUAAGCCAAAAAAAAAAAAAAAGAAAGAAAGAAAGAAAACCCAACAAAAACAUGCUGUUCAGGUUUUCAGCUUUAAGGUAUCUUUGGAUAAUUUUAUUUUUUAUUUUUUUCAUUAGAAGUGACCAAAUUAAGAUGGUGAGACCUCUGAGACCAAAUGUUUGUCCUAUCUCUACCCUCUUCCCAUCCACUCACAGAAUGGAUCAUGUGCCCUUUACUUUGAGUUGACCACUUAAUUGCUCUCCUGCCUCCUUGAAA